ensembl:lncRNA
GGCAUCAGACAAUGAAGUCAUUUUAGCCUGAAUACAUAGGUAAAAAGCACCAGAGCAGGUUGCUAGUACCAUGGCAUGGACAGUAUCAGAGGAUAACCUGUUGAACUAAAUGGAUGUGGUAGGCCACACCACGGGAUGCAUCUGCAGACCACUGCCACAUACAGCAUUGGUUCUCAAAGUGCGGCCUGCGGAAACAUCCCUGGCUGCCAGCAAUGACAUACAGAUGUCAGCGUCUGCCCGGCGCCAGCCCACUCUGUCUAGAGGAGGGCGGCCAUUGUUCCCGCCCUUCUUCGGUGGACCGAGAUGAUACGGAGGAGAGGAAGGGAAACGCGUAGGGGGAAUGGAGG